UUAUAAGCUAUGGUCUCUGCCACAGCAACUAUUUGAGAAUUACUCUGCAGAAUUCCGCAAUGAGCGGAAUGAAUUCCACAAUGAGAUAUUGUUGUUAUGGAUCCCUAUCCAGCCCCGGUCUGAACCUGGCUGUGCAUGUACCUGUGAGAAUGAGGUACAGUCAUAUCAAGUGAGCCAGAAGAGAAUUGGGAUCUCUUACUUCAAAAAAUGGGGCAAUGUAAAUGAGCAGGUGAAGAUCAUCAACACAAUAUUUUGCUUUCAAAAUGCUUCUCAAAAGAGAUCACGGAUACAUUUUUCAUUUUUAUGUAUAAUUUAUUGGUGUUUAUUUUUGCCAAGUCAUAUAAUUAAAAAUUAAUUAUACACAUGUACAAGGAAGUAAAUGCGCUUCGGAAAGAAAAAAAGAAAAGCCUUCCUACUGGGGAUCAUGAGCUCAGCAAAGCAGGAAGCUGCCAUCUGGAGAACGAUUUUCACACUCUCACAAGUGAAGUGGCUGCAGAUCACCACGUGUGACAUGCUUCUUUUACUUCUUUUCUAAUUAGAUGCAAUUUUCUUUGAAGGAGCUUUUUAUUAAAGAUAUAAUUGUACUUAUAUAAUCCAAGUAAAAUGUAGCUUGACAGAUGGAAGAAGGAUGGAAGGUAGUUUAAUAUCACCCUUACAAAUAAAGUGUUACCAGACAAAGAUUUGGCUCA
rnacentral:lncRNA from 1 species